GCGGGGGUUGCCCAGCCAGGCCAAAGGCGCAGGGCUUAGGACCCUGUCUCGUAGGAGUUCGUGCGUUCGAAUCGCACCCCCCGCACCA
rnacentral:tRNA from 2 species